rnacentral:rRNA from 1 species
UUAGAGUUUGAUCCUGGCUCAGAUUGAACGCUGGCGGCAGGCCUAACACAUGCAAGUCGAGCGGUAGCACAGAGAGCUUGCUCUCGGGUGACGAGCGGCGGACGGGUGAGUAAUGUCUGGGAAACUGCCUGAUGGAGGGGGAUAACUACUGGAAACGGUAGCUAAUACCGCAUAAUGUCGCAAGACCAAAGUGGGGGACCUUCGGGCCUCAUGCCAUCAGAUGUGCCCAGAUGGGAUUAGCUAGUAGGUGGGGUAACGGCUCACCUAGGCGACGAUCCCUAGCUGGUCUGAGAGGAUGACCAGCCACACUGGAACUGAGACACGGUCCAGACUCCUACGGGAGGCAGCAGUGGGGAAUAUUGCACAAUGGGCGCAAGCCUGAUGCAGCCAUGCCGCGUGUGUGAAGAAGGCCUUCGGGUUGUAAAGCACUUUCAGCGGGGAGGAAGGCGGUGAGGUUAAUAACCUCACCGAUUGACGUUACCCGCAGAAGAAGCACCGGCUAACUCCGUGCCAGCAGCCGCGGUAAUACGGAGGGUGCAAGCGUUAAUCGGAAUUACUGGGCGUAAAGCGCACGCAGGCGGUCUGUCAAGUCGGAUGUGAAAUCCCCGGGCUCAACCUGGGAACUGCAUUCGAAACUGGCAGGCUAGAGUCUUGUAGAGGGGGGUAGAAUUCCAGGUGUAGCGGUGAAAUGCGUAGAGAUCUGGAGGAAUACCGGUGGCGAAGGCGGCCCCCUGGACAAAGACUGACGCUCAGGUGCGAAAGCGUGGGGAGCAAACAGGAUUAGAUACCCUGGUAGUCCACGCUGUAAACGAUGUCGAUUUGGAGGUUGUGCCCUUGAGGCGUGGCUUCCGGAGCUAACGCGUUAAAUCGACCGCCUGGGGAGUACGGCCGCAAGGUUAAAACUCAAAUGAAUUGACGGGGGCCCGCACAAGCGGUGGAGCAUGUGGUUUAAUUCGAUGCAACGCGAAGAACCUUACCUGGUCUUGACAUCCACAGAACUUAGCAGAGAUGCUUUGGUGCCUUCGGGAACUGUGAGACAGGUGCUGCAUGGCUGUCGUCAGCUCGUGUUGUGAAAUGUUGGGUUAAGUCCCGCAACGAGCGCAACCCUUAUCCUUUGUUGCCAGCGGUCCGGCCGGGAACUCAAAGGAGACUGCCAGUGAUAAACUGGAGGAAGGUGGGGAUGACGUCAAGUCAUCAUGGCCCUUACGACCAGGGCUACACACGUGCUACAAUGGCAUAUACAAAGAGAAGCGACCUCGCGAGAGCAAGCGGACCUCAUAAAGUAUGUCGUAGUCCGGAUUGGAGUCUGCAACUCGACUCCAUGAAGUCGGAAUCGCUAGUAAUCGUAGAUCAGAAUGCUACGGUGAAUACGUUCCCGGGCCUUGUACACACCGCCCGUCACACCAUGGGAGUGGGUUGCAAAAGAAGUAGGUAGCUUAACCUUCGGGAGGGCGCUUACCACUUUGUGAUUCAUGACUGGGGUGAAGUCGUAACAAGGUAACCGUAGGGGAACCUGCGGCUGGAUCACCUCCU